GACUGAUAUCUGGAUUAUUAGCUUUAAUCCUCUGAAUUUCUUCUUUUAUGAACUGAUUAUAUGCAGAAGGUACUCUCUGCCUCUUCUCGGGAGGUCGAUUGACAAUCCUCUCCUCGUGAACAUUGUUUGUGAUUGGAGUUCUCAUUGACAUCCUGUUCAUGUUGCAUUUGGUUGAUGAACCAAAAUCCAUCCUAUACUCAGGAGCAGUGUAGUUUGGAACCUGAUGAUUUUGCCACGAAGCAGAAGAAGAGGACUGAAAUGCA
rnacentral:misc_RNA from 1 species